AUCCCAAGGGCUCGGUCUAUACUUGCUGUCGAGCGGACAGAUGGGAGCUUGCUCCCUGAUGUUAGCGGCGGACGGGUGAGUAACACGUGGGUAACCUGCCUGUAAGACUGGGAUAACUCCGGGAAACCGGGGCUAAUACCGGAUGGUUGUUUGAACCGCAUGGUUCAAACAUAAAAGGUGGCUUCGGCUACCACUUACAGAUGGACCCGCGGCGCAUUAGCUAGUUGGUGAGGUAACGGCUCACCAAGGCGACGAUGCGUAGCCGACCUGAGAGGGUGAUCGGCCACACUGGGACUGAGACACGGCCCAGACUCCUACGGGAGGCAGCAGUAGGGAAUCUUCCGCAAUGGACGAAAGUCUGACGGAGCAACGCCGCGUGAGUGAUGAAGGUUUUCGGAUCGUAAAGCUCUGUUGUUAGGGAAGAACAAGUGCCGUUCAAAUAGGGCGGCACCUUGACGGUACCUAACCAGAAAGCCACGGCUAACUACGUGCCAGCAGCCGCGGUAAUACGUAGGUGGCAAGCGUUGUCCGGAAUUAUUGGGCGUAAAGGGCUCGCAGGCGGUUUCUUAAGUCUGAUGUGAAAGCCCCCGGCUCAACCGGGGAGGGUCAUUGGAAACUGGGGAACUUGAGUGCAGAAGAGGAGAGUGGAAUUCCACGUGUAGCGGUGAAAUGCGUAGAGAUGUGGAGGAACACCAGUGGCGAAGGCGACUCUCUGGUCUGUAACUGACGCUGAGGAGCGAAAGCGUGGGGAGCGAACAGGAUUAGAUACCCUGGUAGUCCACGCCGUAAACGAUGAGUGCUAAGUGUUAGGGGGUUUCCGCCCCUUAGUGCUGCAGCUAACGCAUUAAGCACUCCGCCUGGGGAGUACGGUCGCAAGACUGAACUCACAGGAAUUGACGGGGGCCCGCACAAGCGGUGGAGCAUGUGGUUAAUUCGAGCAACGCGCAAAACUUACCAGGUCUUGACAUCCUCUGACAAUCCUAGAGAUAGGACGUCCCCCUUCGGGGGCAGAUGACAGUGGUGCAUGCUUGUCGUCAGCUCGUGUCGUGAGAUGUCGGGUUAAGUCCCGCCACGAACGCAUCCUUGAUCUUAGUGCCAGCAUCAGCUGGCCACUCUACGGUGACUGCGGUGACAACCGAGAGUGGGAUGACUUCAAUCAUCAUGCCCUUGACUGGGCUACCACGGUCUAAUGACAGACAGUAACGGAACGCAGUAGCCAUCCCCAAUCUGUUCUCCAGU
rnacentral:rRNA from 1 species